UUACUUUCACCUAUUCUCUCUCGCAUAUCUCCAGUUGCUUUGUUUCUCGCCGUCUUUUUUCUUCGCCUUCGCUUCUGUUUUCUUCAUCGUGUUGCUUCGUUGUUCAAAACGUCGACCAUUUUGCUUAGUUGUUCUUCAAUUAAUGGUCACAGUUGUUAAAUUCUCUGCCUUUUUGGUUCGAUUCCAAUAAUUUUUUGGGUUUUUGGUUGGUUGGAUCUGGGUUUUCCAAAAAUUUUGUGCCCAUCUUGGGUUCACUUCGGACUUGGUUGCGACCGAUCUAAUCCGGCGUUUCCAGAUUCGGGAAACGGUCCCUUUCAGAUUUUUGGAUUUUCGAUUCUGAUUCUUGGAACUCUCUGUGCUAAAGG